rnacentral:rRNA from 1 species
CUUCGGGGCGCCCAGGCGCGAUUACUUUACAAUGCGGGAAACCGUGAUAAGGGGACACCGAGUGCCAGCAUCAUAUGCUGGCUGUCCAGGUGUGUAAAAUACACCUGUUAGCAAGGGCCGGGCAAGACCGGUGCCAGCCGCCGCGGUAACACCGGCGGCCCGAGUGGUGAUCGUGAUUAUUGGGUCUAAAGGGUCCGUAGCCGGUUUGGUCAGUCCUCCGGGAAAUCUGACGGCUCAACCGUUAGGCUUUCGGGGGAUACUGCCAGGCUUGGAACCGGGAGAGGUAAGAGGUACUACAGGGGUAGGAGUGAAAUCUUGUAAUCCCUGUGAGACCACCUGUGGCGAAGGCGUCUUACCAGAACGGGUUCGACGGUGAGGGACGAAAGCUGGGGGCACGAACCGGAUUAGAUACCCGGGUAGUCCCAGCCGUAAACGAUGCUCGCUAGGUGUCAGGCAUGGCGCGACCGUGUCUGGUGCCGCAGGGAAGCCGUGAAGCGAGCCACCUGGGAAGUACGGCCGCAAGGCUGAAACUUAAAGGAAUUGGCGGGGGAGCAC